GAGGGAGUCCCUCCCUCUAAAAGCACUCUGUGUGGGGAACAUGAGAGCCAGACCAAAGCUCAGAGGAACCAACGAGGAACUAAACGCAAACAUGAACCUGAACCCAGCUGUGUGUCCUUAAAGAGUGACGCAUCUAAAGAUGAAGCCAUUAAAUUUAAAGUCCAGCCUGUGUCUGCUGCAGAGAGGAUCUUUGGUGGACCUGCUGAACCUGAACCUGGACCCAACUGUGUUUCCUUAAAGAGUGACGCAUCUAAAAAUGAAGCUAUUAAAUUUAAUGUCCAGCUGGCAUCUGCUGCAGGCAGGUGAGCUGUUAGUAACAUGAACUCUUUGAAAGGUGAUUUAUCUGCUUGAUGUUGUCAAUAUAAACUGGUCCCAUUUAAAAGUGUCUCUUAAAAACAAGCCUUUGGUUUCUAAACAACGGUAUAUCCACUUCAGCAACAGGAAGUGAUGCCCGGGCUCAUGCUGUCUUCCAUCAGUUAUGUUGUGCUG